rnacentral:rRNA from 1 species
AGGAUAAACGCUGGCGGCGUGCCUAACACAUGCAAGUCGAACGAGAAAGCUUGGCUGUAGCAAUACAGCCGGGUGAGUAAAGUGGCGUACGGGUGAGUAACACGUAGCUAACCUACCCUCGAGUGGGGAAUAACCUGGGGAAACUCGGGCUAAUACCCCAUAACAUCCGGGUUGCACAAGCAGACCGGAGCAAAGGCUCGCAAGGGCCGCUUGGGGAGGGGGCUGCGGCCGAUUAGCUAGUUGGUGAGGUAAUGGCUCACCAAGGCUUUGAUCGGUAGCCGGCCUGAGAGGGCGCACGGCCACACUGGCACUGAAACACGGGCCAGACUCCUACGGGAGGCAGCAGUGGGGAAUUUUGCACAAUGCCCGAAAGGGUGAUGCAGCAACGCCGCGUGAGGGAUGAAGGUCUUCGGAUCGUAAACCUCUUCGACCGGAAAACGGGCGGGCGAAGACCGUCCUGAUGGUACCGGUGGAAGAAGCCCGGCUAACUACGCGCCAGCAGCCGCGGU